rnacentral:rRNA from 1 species
GACAGAGGUCCCGAGCGUUAGGCGGAAUCACUGGGCUUAAAGCGUGUGUAGGCGGAUCUGUAAGUACCUUGUGAAAUCCCACAGCUUAACUGUGGAACUGCUUGGUAUACUGCGGAUCUUGAGCCACCUAGGGGCGAGCGGAACAAACGGUGGAGCGGUGAAAUGCGUAGAUAUCGUUUGGAACGCCAAUGGUGAAAACAGCUCGCUGGGGGUGUGCUGACGCUGAGACACGAAAGCCAGGGGAGCGAACGGG